UUAGCGAGCCUCAGAUGCUUUGGUGAUGCUGGAUAAGGGGACUCCACACUGUAGUAUGGCUUAGGUAAUACUGGAUAAGGGAAACUCACGCCGUCCACAGUAGUAUGUAGUGUUACAGGAAGCCAAAAAUUAGAUUCACAGACACAGUGAUAAGGAUCAGAAACCGGCACAAUGAUGUCAUCCCCACCAUGGCCCAGGGUGUGACUGAAUACAAGGAGAGCUUCGGGGUGGAUCCUGUCACCAGCCAAAAUGUUCAGUACUUUUUGGAUCGGUUCUACAUGAGUCGCAUCUCAAUUAGAAUGCUACUCAACCAGCACUCUUUAUUGUUUGGUGGAAAAGGAAGUCCAUCUCAUCGAAAACACAUUGGAAGCAUAAAUCCAAACUGUGAUGUAG
rnacentral:lncRNA from 1 species